GCGGAUGUGGUGGAAUGGUAGACACGCUAGCCUUAGGAGCUAGUGACGCAAGUCGUGAAGGUUCGAGUCCUUUCAUCCGCACCA
rnacentral:tRNA from 1 species